GAUGAACGCUGGCGGCGUGCCUAAUACAUGCAGGUCGAGCGAACGGACGAGAAGCUUGCUUCUCUGAUGUUAGCGGCGGACGGGUGAGUAACACGUGGAUAACCUACCUAUAAGACUGGGAUAACUUCGGGAAACCGUAGCUAAUACCGGAUAAUAUUUUGAACCGCAUGGUUCAAAAGUGAAAGACGGUCUUGCUGUCACUUAUAGAUGGAUCCGCGCUGCAUUAGCUAGUUGGUAAGGUAACGGCUUACCAAGGCAACGAUGCAUAGCCGACCUGAGAGGGUGAUCGGCCACACUGGAACUGAGACACGGUCCAGACUCCUACGGGAGGCAGCAGUAGGGAAUCUUCCGCAAUGGGCGAGAGCCUGACGGAGCAACGCCGCGUGAGUGAUGAAGGUCUUCGGAUCGUAAAACUCUGUUAUUAGGGAAGAACAUAUGUGUAAGUAACUGUGCACAUCUUGACGGUACCUAAUCAGAAAGCCACGGCUAACUACGUG
rnacentral:rRNA from 1 species